GAAAUGCGAUAAGUAAUGUGAAUUGCAGAAUUCAGUGAAUCAUCGAAUCUUUGAACGCACCUUGCGCCCCGUGGUAUUCCGCGGGGCAUGCCUGUUUGAGUGUCACGUGAAACCUCACCCAUUGUGAUGUCAAAGUCGCUCUGGGUGGACUUGGACCGUGCCGUAGAUGGCUCGUCCUGAAAUGCAUUAGCCUGGUCGUCGGACCGAAGGGCCACGGUGUGAUAAUUCCAUCUGCGCCGAUAAGUGCCCCCGGUGUAAUUCGACUGUUGACCGGCUCACAAUCGUCCGCGAGGACAGUUUACUUGACAGUUUGGCCUCAAAUCAGGUAGGACUACCCGCUGAACUUAA
rnacentral:misc_RNA from 1 species